GAAAAGUGCUUAUGGGGAACAAGACCC
rnacentral:piRNA from 1 species